AUGGAGGGCAAGGCGGUGGGCUUCUCGGCCGCCGAUUGCGGCGCCGACGCGGCGGCGGACGAUUUCAAGUACAUCACCGGGAUGAGCACCAUCCUGGUGGCCACCAUCCAGGAGGUGAAGGACCGGGUCUCCCAGAUGGAGUUCAUCUUCUGCAGCCAGAUCUUCCCGCACUUCCAGGCCAAGUCCAAGCUCCUCCACGCGCGUCUGGCCGAUUCCACUGCCACGAGGGAGGCCGAGGAUGAGUGGCGGCAGAGGGAGGCCGGCCUGGUGAGCCAGCUGGAGGAGCUCAACCGCGGGAAGCGGCGCGCGGAGGACAGGCUGCUGCAGCUGGAGAGCUCUCUCGAGGAGAUGCGAGGGAUGCUCGUGAACGCCGACCUGUUGGCUGCGGAGCACGAUGCUGAGAAGAAGCAGCUUCUGGGGAGUCUGGAGGAGGAGAUGAAGAAAGAUGAGGUGAUUCGUCGGCUCGAAAGGGAGAUCGGGGUGAAGGAUGCUGAGAUGUCAAGGGUGAGGGGGAGAUUGGAGGAGGAAAUGAAGAAAGACGAGGUGAUUCGUCGGCUCCAAAGGGAGAUUGGGGAGAAGGAUUCUGAGAUAUCAAGGGUGAGGGGGAGAUUGGAGGAGGAAAUGAAGAAAGAUGAGGUGAUCUGCCGGCUCGAAAGGGAGAUUGAGGAGAAGGCUGCUGCGAUAUCUAGGGAGAGGGGGGCAUUGGAGGAGGAAAUGAAGAAAGAUGAGGUGAUUCGUCAGCUCGAAAGAGAGAUUGGGGAGAAGGCUGCUGAGAUUUCAAGGGAGAGGGAGGCCCAUCAGCGGCUGCUACAGCAGUUGGAGUUGAAGGAUAAGGAUAUUCUUCUUGAGCAGAAUAAAUUCAAUCACGCGACUACACAAUACAAGCAUCUCAAGUCUGAGCACAACUAUCUUCUUGGAAAGAUUGCGGAGAUGGAAGGCUCCAAGAUUGACCAGAAUGAAGGCUCCAGGAUUGACCUGAAUGAAGGCUCCAAGUCCCCUUUGAAUCGGAAGGCCUCUGGAAGUCCUCCAAGUAAGAGAAAGCUAAAAGAUUUGCAGGACACGAAAAAUGAGAGCAUUCAGGUAGUUUCUAAGACUGAAGACCAAAAGAAUUCUCCUAGUUCACGUGCGAAGGCCCAAAAUGCUACCUCUGCCAGGAGCGUGUUCAGUAACUCGCGCCUUUGUUUACCACCUCAUGCAACUAACCCUCCGCACAAGAAUGCUGCUAGCACUUCAAAGACAGAGGCAUCAUCUAGUUUCACCCGCCCAAGUCUACACUGGAGGGAAACUCGUGUGCGUAAGGAACCAGGUGUUGUUGAUCCACAUGAUGAUUUUCUUGAUACUCCUCUGGAGGCUGUAAAAAAUUUGAUCAGGAACCCUACAACUAGAGAAGAAGCACAAGCUCUUGCUGCCCCUCCUCCCCAAGAUAUGGACUUCAAUAACUCAGAUGAUGAGACUCAAGACAUCAAUAUUGUCGCUCAGGGCCUCAACAACAUACCAGUUCCCAAGCAGCGAAGCUCAAUUUCAAUCCAUCCACCGAAUAAAGAUUUCAAAUAUACAGAACCUGUAAGAAAGAAAGCUGAUCGGGCGAAUCUGAAAGGUGUUGAAUGCAAGCAGUGCAAGAAGUUCUAUGACGCUGUGCUUCCUGAUGGCCGUGUAAAUGGUGAUGGUACUACAAGUAUGAGGUGCGAGCAUCAUGAUGGUGUGUCUAGACAUAGAUACAGGUAUGCCCCUCCAUUGACACCCGAAGGGUUUUGGAACAUUGGAUUUGAAUCAGAGAUGUAG
rnacentral:rRNA from 1 species